AUGGCAAAGUUUGAGAUGAAAAAAAUUAUGUCAAUUAUAUUUAUGUUACUAUUAGUUGUGGCACAAGCUGACGAUUUUUCUCCAACUCCAUCACCUUCAAAAAACCCAAUUCUUAAGGGACUUUGUAUAGCGAAGUGUGCUUUUAAAUGUAAACGCUUCCUGAGAAAACCCCCCUUAUAUGCAGGUUGUAUUGCUGUGUGUACACUAUUGAAAUGUCAUAAGAUAUCAUCAAAAAUUGCUUAUGAAUGUGCAACUAAGUGCUCUAUUUCAAACUCUAGAAAAGCUAAUACAGGUAUUCGAGGUGUUAAUGUCAUUGUGAAUUCAUGCUUGAAAGCUUGCAAAAUAUAA